UAUGAAGAGCGGCGAACGGGUGAGUAACGCGUGGGAAAUCUGCCGAGUAGCGGGGGACAACGUUUGGAAACGAACGCUAAUACCGCAUAACAAUGAGAAUCGCAUGAUUCUUAUUUAAAAGAAGCAAUUGCUUCACUACUUGAUGAUCCCGCGUUGUAUUAGCUAGUUGGUAGUGUAAAGGACUACCAAGGCGAUGAUACAUAGCCGACCUGAGAGGGUGAUCGGCCACACUGGGACUGAGACACGGCCCAGACUCCUACGGGAGGCAGCAGUAGGGAAUCUUCGGCAAUGGGGGCAACCCUGACCGAGCAACGCCGCGUGAGUGAAGAAGGUUUUCGGAUCGUAAAACUCUGUUGUUAGAGAAGAACGUUAAGUAGAGUGGAAAAUUACUUAAGUGACGGUAUCUAACCAGAAAGGGACGGCUAACUACGUGCCAGCAGCCGCGGUAAUACGUAGGUCCCAAGCGUUGUCCGGAUUUAUUGGGCGUAAAGCGAGCGCAGGUGGUUUCUUAAGUCUGGUGUAAAAGGCAGUGGCUCAACCAUUGUGUGCAUUGGAAACUGGGAGGCUUGAGUGCAGGAGAGGAGAGUGGAAUUCCAUGUGUAGCGGUGAAAUGCGUAGAUAUAUGGAGGAACACCGGAGG
rnacentral:rRNA from 1 species